rnacentral:hammerhead_ribozyme from 1 species
AUCCAGCUGACGAGUCCCAAAAAAUAGGAGGAAGCGCGCUUCCUGGAU